GGGCUGUCGUGUGGGGCCGUGUCCAAAGCCUCAGGGCCCUGGGCACAUCAGGGGCUACAAGUCCCCGAGUCUGGGGGCUGCUCCUUUCCACUUCCAGCUUCUCCAUCCAGUUUGGAAAGACUGACACAUUGAAAGACAAAGAAUGGUGGUUACAGACAAAGACUCAAAUUCCAGCCACUUUCCAGCAAAUCAGCAACUCUGUUAUUAUGGGAUGAACAUCAAAUGCUGCCAAGCUUUUCCUGAGAAGGUCUAGAGGAAGGCAAGAGAAGGCUGAUUUGAAAAUCUAUUGCCCUUGAGAAAGGAGAUGAAUAGGUAUGUUACAGGUUUGGACAGAUAGGGAAAGGAUGGAUUUCAGGGGUGGAAAGGAGGUGAG